ensembl:lncRNA
UCUUUUUCCUGUAAGAUCUUAGCACUUGAAAAAACAGUGGCUUGCUUCAAUGGUAUUUUUAUUAAGAGCCAUUGGGAUUUUUUUAUUUCAUCAUGUAACUGUAUCUAUCUUAUAAUAAUAUGUACAUUUUUACUAAGGAGUUGUGAGAGGAGUGCUGAAUUAAUAAAACUACUUUUCUCUUUUAGGGUGGAUUCCUUUUGUAUUUUCAUAAGCACAGGGUUUUGCUUCACAUCCCUGCUCCACCGUCUGACAGAAGAAGGAUUUGAACAUACAUCUCUGACAUUCAAGAAGGGUGUCAGUAUGUCUCCAUCUUCAAACAAGCUGGAAACAUGGGACAUUUGUCACAGAUUUUUCCUUUGAAGUCAAUACUAAAUUGAGGCCUGUCUGCAAUGUUCAAUCUGUAUUCCAAAGGAAAGAGCUCUUACAGAACUAUCUAGAGAAACAGGUCUUUUGCUGAAAUGUUCUCUGUUCGUCUCUUGCUGCAUCAGGACCAAGGUGGCAAUGUUUGCUGCUAUAAAACCAGUGAGAAUCAUCCACUUAUUUAAAUGUACUAGUUUCAGUCUUACCCAUGCUUUAUACCAGUGUACAAAAAAGGGGAUUUGUAUUCUUCAGUAUUUCAAUAUUAAUGAAAAAAAGUAAAAAAUUACUUACUUCAGUAAUUCUCAAAGAGUUUCCAUGUCAGUGUGAGAAAACUUAGGGGACUGAAUGUAGUUAAUCUUAGCUAAAAUCUCAACACUAUGUUUUAAUAAAGAUUCCCAAGUAAUUGUGACUUCAAGUCACUGCUCACGAUGGAUAACAUUUCCAGAGAAACAGGAAUGGUGCUGCAUCGGUGUUUUUGAUUUAGCCAGACUCCUUUGAUGGGAGAGAAGCAAGGGAGAGAGAAGAUGAAAUAAACCUUUAGACUCUGAAUUCUCUUGCCACACUGGUCGUAUGAGUCACUACAGAGAGAAUUUAUCCUGUUCUUCUGACAGUGUAAAGAUUUUACUAGUUUUAUUGUAAUUGUUCGUGCAACAUACACAAGUUUCUUUCUCUUUUUUUUUUUUCCUUUUUGUUUUUUAAUGUGAAGGGACUAUGCCAUAAGCACAAGAAAAGUCUGUAACAGCCACGAGAUUUUCCUUUUCUCUCAGAAAAAUGCAUUAAACAGGAUUAGGGAAUCUUAAAAUAAUUUAAAAGGCUUCUUUCUAACUCAAGAAAAUGUUAUAUGAAACAUGCUUCCUUGAAAAGUAGGCUUUAUGUAGACGUUUAACUUUAGACUUUAAAUUUAGACCUGUAUAGUCACACAUAUUAAUACAAGAAUCUAUGCAAUGACAGUUCAGAGGUGUGCUUGAAUGCAUUCAUUGCUGAUAUGCUGGAUUUAUGGCAACUGGACCAGAGGUCUGUGAAAAUUUGCUUGUCAUUCCCAACAGGAUUGAAAUGCUUCUGCUGUUCAGUAGUCUUGUAUGCUUGUCACCAUUAAUGUUCCCUCUAAUUUAUUUCUCUGUGUGUGACAAAUGACCUCCUGAAUACCAAUGUGAAACUUGUAGCCCUAAUUCACAUGAUGCUGGAAAUGGAACAGCAAAAUAAAUGAGUUUGCAAUCCUCUUU